UAUAAAAUAUUGUUUGUUGAUACUUGAAUUGGAAUGGAAUUGAAUGACGUUUAAAAACGAGCAUAAUAUUGUCCUGAAUAGAUUUAGUAAUUAAUGGCAAGUAAACUAGCACCGCUGUUCGUCAAAAACACCUCUACAAAAUGAAUUUGUUAGUUGUCGUGAUGGUUUGUUUUGCAUGGCGAUUUCAGAAGAUGAGUGGCCAAGUGUGUGUCGUCAGUGUGUUUGGUGAUAAAUCGUCUGGCAAAAAGGAGCCGCCAUCCCCCGAAAACGGACUGGUGACAGAUCCCAGACAGCGAAAUUGUCUAGAAAACAUCAACUCAUGAUAGCAGUGUUGAGCCUUCAAGACCUGUUAAGCUUACAUGAUAAUUAAUUAAGUGUAGCAGUAUCAUGACAAGAUAAUGGUUACCUGAACAAUGACAACGUUUGCCACAAUCAACUAGAUCUAAAAUAAGAAAUUUAUGGUGACAACAAAAUAAUUACUAGUCAAAUCGUUAAGAAAAAAAAAGGCCAGUCAAAUUUGGGACUUGACAAACGAAUAAAAAAAACAUUGAAAUUUACAUGCUGGAAAGAUAUUUCAGUCGUCUGAUGAAGAAAUCACGUUAAAGAAAAUUUGUCAUAUUUCCAAACUUUUUUUAUCUAAUAGUAUGUGUAUAGCGACAUUAGAAAAGAGGUGUUAGAAAAGAGUGCACAUUCAAUUAGGUCUCGUUAUCCCCAGCACAUUAUAAGACAACUAGAAAAAUAGGAACUUGAAAAAAAUUAUAUUCUAUUGUUAAAACAAGGUUUUUCCAAUUUGAAACAAAAAUGUGCGUUUGUACGACAUACAAGAUGGUACGAGAUACAAGCUACACGUAGAUUCUUCAGGAGUUGGUGAAAUAGUGAUUCUGUUCUAAGAAUUUAGUCUAUCUAUAUUAGUUUGAAGUAUUCUUAUUCUCAGGAACAAAUAAUAUAAUUAAAAACAAUUUAAUUAUAAGUACUAUAUAAUCUUACAUCAAUGUACAUUACCUGCAGUUAUUUUUUCUUGCGUUUCUGUUAGUUAAUUUAUU